UACGAAGGUCCCAAGCGUUAUCCGGAUUUAUUGGGUUUAAAGGGUGCGUAGGCGGGCUAUUAAGUCAGUGGUGAAAGCCCCAAGCUUAACUUGGGAACUGCCAUUGAUACUGAUGGUCUUGAGUACAUUUGAGGUGGGCGGAAUGUGUCAUGUAGCGGUGAAAUGCUUAGAUAUGACACAGAACACCGAUUGCGAAGGCAGCUCACUAAACUGUAACUGACGCUGAGGUACGAAAGCGUGGGGAGCAAACAGG
rnacentral:rRNA from 1 species